rnacentral:lncRNA from 1 species
AGUCACUCACCAGUCCUCAGCUGAACUGAGACCCACCUUAGGGGUCAGGAUCCAUCCUCUUCCAUGAUGAUCAGGGAUGAGGAGUUAGCCAGUUCCAACUGAAUCAGUAAAAAGCAGCGAGGUGUGGUGAAUGGAACCCAGGAUCCCUCUCAGGAGCCUCGGGAAUCCGUUUCCUCUCCGCAUCAGUGGCAGAGAUGUCCCUGCCCCAACCGGUGGGUGUGCGGAUUCUGUGCGGAUUCGCACGGUGUUUGGCACGUGACAGGGUCUCACUGUGUCACCAAGGCUGGCUCAAUCACGGCUCACUGCAGCCUCGACCUCCUGUGUUCAAGCGAUCCUCCUGCCUCAGCCUCCCGAGUAGCUGGGACUAUAGGGGUGCACCACCAUGCCCAGGUUGACAAACAUGGUGUCAGAAGUGGGAUCUGAAGCAUAAUCAUUUUCAGAAUAAACUGGUGAUUCUUGGAACCAGGGUGCAGUACUCCCUUGAGGCCUUUCAGCUCUCUACUUCCACGGCUCUCCUUUUUCUGCCCUGGUGAGUCUUCUCUCAAGCCAAGCCUCCCUCUUUUUGGCAGAUGCUCUUUAACUUUGUUUGGGAUGUGAUUUGAGUAACAUCACCUUAAUAAAGAGUGUUGCAUCCCUUCU